rnacentral:rRNA from 1 species
GCUUCGGUGGUGGAUUAGUGGCGAACGGGUGAGUAACACGUGGGCAAUCUGCCCUGCACUCUGGGACAAGCCCUGGAAACGGGGUCUAAUACCGGAUAUGACACGGGAUCGCAUGGUCUCCGUGUGGAAAGCUCCGGCGGUGCAGGAUGAGCCCGCGGCCUAUCAGCUUGUUGGUGGGGUGAUGGCCUACCAAGGCGACGACGGGUAGCCGGCCUGAGAGGGCGACCGGCCACACUGGGACUGAGACACGGCCCAGACUCCUACGGGAGGCAGCAGUGGGGAAUAUUGCACAAUGGGCGCAAGCCUGAUGCAGCGACGCCGCGUGAGGGAUGACGGCCUUCGGGUUGUAAACCUCUUUCAGCAGGGAAGAAGCGCGAGUGACGGUACCUGCAGAAGAAGCACCGGCUAACUACGUGCCAGCAGCCGCGGUAAUACGUAGGGUGCGAGCGUUGUCCGGAAUUAUUGGGCGUAAAGAGCUCGUAGGCGGCUUGUCGCGUCGGAUGUGAAAGCCCGGGGCUUAACCCCGGGUCUGCAUUCGAUACGGGCAGGCUAGAGUUCGGCAGGGGAGAUUGGAAUUCCUGGUGUAGCGGUGAAAUGCGCAGAUAUCAGGAGGAACACCGGUGGCGAAGGCGGAUCUCUGGGCCGAUACUGACGCUGAGGAGCGAAAGCGUGGGGAGCGAACAGGAUUAGAUACCCUGGUAGUCCACGCCGUAAACGUUGGGCACUAGGUGUGGGCGG